GGGCUCGUGGCGGAAUGGCAGACGCGCUGGACUUAGGAUCCAGUCCCGCACGGGGUCCGGGUUCAAGUCCCGGCGAGCCCA
rnacentral:tRNA from 1 species